CCACCUCUUUCUCAGAGUCAUUCCAAUUCUUAAACAGAAAGCAUGAAGAACUAGAAUUCCCAGUGGAAAAGGAUUUGGGCAUGUCCAGCAGUAACUGAGGAGGGUCUCUAAAGCCUACCAGUGCAUUGUUUGUAGAGGAGGAAAUUAUUUGGACAUAUACUGUACCCAGCCAAAAGAUGGAUGCCUGAAGAGAUUAUCAUAAAACCACUGCAAAGAAUGCCAUUCGGCCUUUAUAAAGAAAACAUUAAAGAAGACAAAUCACAGGACACAGAUGCUAGAAAAAUCAUCAAGGUCAAGGAGCUUG